UACCUGGUUGAUCCUGCCAGUAGUCAUAUGCUUGUCUUAAAGAUUAAGCCAUGCAUGUCUAAGUAUAAGCAUUUAUACCGCGAGACUGCGAACGGCUCAUUAAAACAGUUAUGGUUUAUUUGAUGGUUCCUUUGCUACUUGGAUAACCGUAGUAAUUCUAGAGCUAAUACAUGCACGAAGGGGCGACUCACGAAGCCCUGUAUUUAUUAGAUUAAAGCCAACCACCUCCGGGUGUUCGUAGUGAAUCAUAGUAACUUCUCGGAUCGCCGGCUCUACGCCAGCGACGUGUCAUUCAAAUUUCUGCCCUAUCAGCUUUAGAUGGUAGGAUAUGGGCCUACCAUGGCGGUGACGGGUAACGGAGAAUUAGGGUUCGAUUCCGGAGAGGGAGCCUGAGAAACGGCUACCACUUCUAAGGAAGGCAGCAGGCGCGCAAAUUACCCAAUCCUGACUCAGGGAGGUAGUGACAAGAAAUAACAAUAAACCGGCUUAUGCCGGUUUAAUUGGAAUGAGUACAAUUUAAACAUCUUAACGAGGAACAAUUGGAGGGCAAGUCUGGUGCCAGCAGCCGCGGUAAUUCCAGCUCCAAUAGC
rnacentral:rRNA from 1 species